rnacentral:rRNA from 1 species
UACGAAGGGGGCUAGCGUUGCUCGGAAUUACUGGGCGUAAAGGGCGCGUAGGCGGACAGUUUAGUCAGAGGUGAAAGCCCAGGGCUCAACCUUGGAAUAGCCUUUGAUACUGGCUGUCUUGAGUUCGGGAGAGGUGAGUGGAAUGCCGAGUGUAGAGGUGAAAUUCGUAGAUAUUCGGCGGAACACCAGUGGCGAAGGCGACUCACUGGCCCGAUACUGACGCUGAGGCGCGAAAGCGUGGGGAGCAACAGG